AGGACGAAGACCUUCGGUCGUAAACUCCUUUCGAUCGAGACGAAUUCCCUGGGUGAACAUCCCGGGGUCGACGGUACCGAGAGAAGAAGCCCCGGCUAACUCCGUGC
rnacentral:rRNA from 1 species